rnacentral:lncRNA from 1 species
AUGUGAAAAUAUGUAAGAAAUUGUGAAAAAAGGCAAAAACAAAUCUCAUUGAGGGUCGGGUUGGGGUUUCGGCACAGCGGUGCCACCAUGCUCCGUCUCCUGGUCCUCUUCCUCCGGUGGUUCUUCCUUUCAGUCGAUUCCUGGAGAAAAUUUGUUUAAAUCGUGGUUAUGGGGUGUCUUUCGAAGAAAAAAGGGGGAAAAUAUGGUAUUACUAGUAGUUUUGGUUCUCCGAUGUGGCGACUCAGCCGAGCUCUGCCGACCCUCCCUUGCAGUUUACGACUUCUCCUAAUUACCUUACAUCGAAAACGU